GUCUACUCUUAAUGGUCCAUGGUUUACCCAUGUUCCUUUACAAAAGGAGCUGAGGAGGCGACAGGCAUUUGGGGCUUUGUAGAAAUUUAAAGUAUGGUGCAAAGAUUCACAGCCUCAAGGACUCCUGGAGUCACCUGGAGAUCUCUUGGCAGGACCUUCGUCUCUAGGAUCAUUUAUGUUAUGUGGGAGAUCAGAUCAAGUACACCCUGGCAUGGACUUCCCCUGACGCUGUGCUGGAGCCUGGCCUCUGUGUCUGUCCUGGCAUCUGCCCAGCGGCCUUCAACACAGACCCUCCACUUUUCCACCAGUUUGUCCACCGGUGAAAAGGAGAAGCCAGCCAAGAACCAGCAGCUUCUGGCUACCUUGAUCAGAAGGUUGAUGAAGGCAAUGAAACAAAGAUGGAAAAACACAUCACACAGGCCCUUACCAGAUGCCAGCAUCUUGAUAUUGGACUUCCCAGCCUUCAGAACUAUAAGGCUCCAGUCAAGCAACCCACCUUAUCAAGUGGACCAGGCACAGCUCCUACUUAUCCCUGAGUAGUGGGUAUCAGUUUCCUGCUAACCUCGGAAUUGUUCAAAGCCCAUCACAUUCUCCUGCAGGAACCAGGGAGCACCUCACCCUCUUGUUGCUACAAAGCUUGCCACCCACAGCCCCUGCCUGUUCACCCUGCUCCUGAGGGCAACCCCUGUAUGGCCAGCAUCCCAUGCUGUGUUCACCUCUCCCAAGCUGCGAGUGUAUGUGAAUAAUAACUGCCGUCAAUCGCAUCUGUUAAGCAUCGAGUGUAAUGUGUUUGGUCAUCCUCAUAAUUCUAGUGUGGAAUGUCUCCCUCACCAAUGGGGUGAACAGGAGGGAAUGAAAACAAUGUGUAAAAUAUUUAGACACCGCAAGAUACAUAUUUAGAGCCUGGCAAAUGUUAGUUAAGGCCAUUAUUGCUAUUAUUUUGCAAAAGGAUAAUAAUUUGGUUUUCUUUUAACAAAAUUUGUUUGGGCAGAAUGCUUAGCUCAUAGUGUUAUUCUUAGGUUCCUCCAAACAGCUUUUCUGGAAUUUUGUUUCCCUCAUUAGCAAUUACAAAGAUAUGCUAAUGCUCUGCACCAAGUGGCAGCUACAUGCUUGAGACCAACACUGAAAAUCAGUCAUGGAAUCACUGCAUAUCUGAACAAGGGCCACGAGAGGAGGCACAGAUGGGUCAACUGACUUGAGCAGAGCCACCCAGCAAAUUCAGCGUCGGAGUAUGGUAACUAGAUCUCCUGAUCCAACCAUCCUUCCCUGCACCCUCCCAUCUAGGCUAAUGAGGAGAAAUGUAAUCACGGUGGUAAUUGCAGGCAAAGAUGAGCAUCACUUGGUAAAGCAAUAUGUGUACUUGAGUUGGCCAUAUGGAAAAUCCAGUG
rnacentral:lncRNA from 1 species